CAAGGGCCUCCAUCACAGCAUGGCUGUCCUGGUGCUAUUGCUCUGCCUGGUGACAUUUCCAAGCUGUGUCCUGUCCCAGGUGCAGCUGAAGGAGUCAGGACCUGGCUUGAUGCAGCCCUCAGAGACCCUGUCCCUCACCUGCACUGUCUCUGGCUUCUCACUAACCAGCAAUGGUGUAGGCUGGGUUCGACAACCUCUAGGAAAGGGUUUGGUGUGGAUGGGAACAAUAUGGGCUGGUGGAAGUACAAAUUAUAAUUCAGCUGUCCAAUCCCGACUGAGCAUCAGCAGGGACACCUCCAAGAGCCAAGUUUUCUUAAAAAUGAACAGUCUGCAACCUGAAGACACAGGCACUUACUACUGUGCCAGACACACAGUGAGAGAAGUCCAGUGUGAACUUGCACAAAAACUUCCCUACAGUGAUUUUUAGGACCAGCAGG
rnacentral:lncRNA from 1 species